CACAGAGACUUAUAUUAGUUACAAACUGUAUGGCCGUGGCAGGCUUCUUGCUAACUGUUCUUAUAUCUUAAAUUAAUCCAUUUCCAUUAAUCUAUACCUUGCCACAUGGCUCGUGGCUUACCGGGAUCUUCCCAUGCGGCUUGUCAUGGUGGCGGCUGGCAGUGUCUCUCUCUCAGCCUUCCACUUCCCAGAAUUCUUCUCUUUGUCCCGCCUCUACUUCCUGCCUAGCCAAUGGCCAAUCAGUGAUUUAUUUACUGACCAAUCAACAACACAUUUGACAUACAGACCAUCCCACAGCAGAUGCAUGUUCAGGGAUAGAGCACUGCUGACAAGGAACAAUGAGGACAAAAACCCCAGGACCUAAAAACAGGCUCAGAUUUGUCUUAAAGUACUGAGCCAGGUGUAAGUGUGCAAACCUGUAACUCCAGAAUUUAGGAGGCUGAAGAUCUGAACUCAAGGCUGCAUGACAACUUCCUGGUCUAUAAAAGCUGUCCAGCUGAGAACAAGCAUCCAACUCUGUACCAAUUUGAUUUCUCUCUCCCAUGCAACUAAGGCACUUCGUGGAAAAGAACCAUUAAUUAAAAUACCAAGUGCAAAGGAAGGGCAUGAUUUGGCUGACAUAUGUAAAUGCAAAUGCAGAGUAUCCCAUGGGGAAAGAGAGACUUCACUGAAGGUGAAAUGUGGAAAGAUGUGCUGAGCAAGCAUCUUGGCUGAACAAGCAAUUUGGGGCAGUGCCAUAACUGCAGGCAUUUUAGAAGAAAUACAUUGGAGAGGUAAUUGGGAAAGGCAUGGGUAAUUAGACCCCUGAACAGUAUCAAUUUUUAGGACUGCAAAGCCAGAGGGAAAGUAAAUUGGCAGUUACUAAGAAGUGGUGAUGAUGCAAAAACAAAACAAAACUAAAAACAACACGAAAUCUGCACGAAUAAGACAUGCCUUGUUUUAACUUUUGCAUAAACAGAAC